UACAGGGGGUGCAAACGUUGCUCGGAAUCAUUGGGCGUAAAGCGCACGUAGGCGGUUUGUUAUGUCGGAUGUGAAAGCCCUUGGCUCAACUAAGGAAGUGCAUCCGAAACUGGCAGCUGGAGUACUAAAGAGGGUCGCGGAAUUCCCGGUGUAGAGGUGAAAUUCGUAGAUAUCGGGAGGACACCGGUGGCGAAGGCGGCGACCUGGGUAGAUACUGACGCUGAGGUGCGAAAGCGUGGGGAGCAAACAGG
rnacentral:rRNA from 1 species